rnacentral:rRNA from 1 species
CCUACGGGAGGCAGCAGUGGGGAAUAUUGGGCAAUGGGCGCAAGCCUGACCCAGCAACGCCGCGUGAAGGAAGAAGGCUUUCGGGUUGUAAACCUCUUUUCUCAGGGACGAAGCAAGUGACGGUACCUGAGGAAUAAGCCACGGCUAACUACGUGCCAGCAGCCGCGGUAAUACGUAGGUGGCAAGCGUUAUCCGGAUUUACUGGGUGUAAAGGGAGUGUAGGCGGGGCUGCAAGUCAGAUGUGAAAACCAGGGGCUCAACCUGUGGCCUGCAUUUGAAACUGUAGGUCUGGAGUGCUGGAGAGGCAGACGGAAUUCCUAGUGUAGCGGUGAAAUGCGUAGAUAUUAGGAGGAACACCAGUGGCGAAGGCGGUCUGCUGGACAGCAACUGACGCUGAGGCGCGAAAGCGUGGGGAGCGAACAGGAUUAGAUACCCGGGUAGUC